rnacentral:tRNA from 1 species
GCCUGGGUGGCUCAGUCAGUUGAGCAUCUGACUUUGGCUCAAGUCAUGAUCUCAUGGCCCGUGGGUUCGAACCCUGCAUCGGGCU